CGGCUCAGUAACACGUGGAUAACCUGCCCUUAGGACUGGCAUAACCCCGGGAAACUGGGGAUAAUUCCGGAUAGUUCAUGGUAGCUGGAAUGCUCCAUGAUCGAAAGCUAUUGCGCCUAAGGAUGGGUCUGCGGUCUAUCAGGUAGUAGUGGGUGUAAUGUACCUACUAGCCGACGACGGAUACGGGUUGUGGGAGCAAGAGCCCGGAGAUGGAUUCUGAGACAUGAAUCCAGGCCCUACGGGGCGCAGCAGGCGCGAAAACUUUACAAUGCGGGAAACCGCGAUAAGGGGACACCGAGUGCCAGCAUCUUAUGUUGGCUGUCCGCAUGUAUAAAUCACAUGUGUUAGCAAGGGCCGGGCAAGACCGGUGCCAGCCGCCGCGGUAACACCGGCGGCCCGAGUGGUGGCCACUAUUAUUGGGUCUAAAGGGUCCGUAGCCGGUUUGGUCAGUCUUCCGGGAAAUCUGACGGCUUAACCGUUAGGCUUUCGGGGGAUACUACCAGGCUUGGGACCGGGAGAGGUAAGAGGUACUACGGGGGUAGGAGUGAAAUCUUGUAAUCCUCGUGGGACCACCAGUGGCGAAGGCGUCUUACCAGAACGGGUCCGACGGUGAGGGACGAAAGCUGGGGGCACGAACCGGAUUAGAUACCCGGGUAGUCCCAGCCGUAAACUAUGCUCGCUAGGUGUCAGGGACGGUGCGACCGUUUCUGGUGCCGCAGGGAAGCCGUGAAGCGAGCCACCUGGGAAGUACGGUCGCAAGGCUGAAACUUAAAGGAAUUGGCGGGGGAGCACUACAACGGGUGGAGCCUGCGGUUUAAUUGGACUCAACGCCGGAAAACUCACCGGGGGCGACAGCAAUAUGUAGGUCAAGCUAAAGACUUUACCAGAAUCGCUGAGAGGUGGUGCAUGGCCC
rnacentral:rRNA from 1 species